GAGGGGAUAGCUCAGUGGUAGAGCACCUGCUUAGCAUGUACAAGGUCCGGGGUUCAAUCCCCAGUACCUCCA
rfam:Camelus ferus unplaced genomic scaffold scaffold627, whole genome shotgun sequence.